CCUACGGGUGGCAGCAGUGGGGAAUAUUGCACAAUGGGGGAAACCCUGAUGCAGCGACGCCGCGUGAGUGAAGAAGUAUUUCGGUAUGUAAAGCUCUAUCAGCAGGGAAGAAAAUGACGGUACCUGAUUAAGAAGCCCUGGCUAACUACGUGCCAGCAGCCGCGGUCAUACGUAGGGGGCAAGCGUUAUCCGGAUUUACUGGGUGUAAAGGGGGCGUAGACGGCAGCACAAGUCUGGAGUGAAAUGCCGGGGCUUAACCCCGGAACUGCGUUGGAAACUGGGCAGCUAGAGUGCAGGAGAGGUAAGUGGAAUUCCUAGUGUAGCGGUGAAAUGCGUAGAUAUUAGGAGGAACACCAGUGGCGAAGGCGGCUUACUGGACUGUAACUGACGUUGAGGCUCGAAAGCGUGGGGAGCAAACAGGAUUAGAUACCCGAGUAGUC
rnacentral:rRNA from 1 species